CAAAACAGUAAAGGAUAAACAUAUACGUAUAUUGCUGCCACCAUGCCGCCGGCAGACCCUCUGAUGAAGGCCCUGAUGGAGGUCAAGAUGCUCGCCUCCCGCUCCCGCAAGGAAGCCGAAAAGGCCAACAAAACCCGCCUUGCCGAAGAAAACAAAGCCUCCCGCGCCAUGAAAAACCGCGAAUUCCAAAUCGCCCAGAUCCACUCCCAGUCCGCCGUGCGCGAGCACCACCGCUACGUCUCCCUGCGCGCCGAAGCCGCGGAGGCAGAGGUCCUCGUCAACGAUCUCAAAGCCGCCUAUAGUACGCGCGAGCGCGCCCGAUCGCUCGCCUACGCCUCCAAGGCGCUCGAGGGCGCCUCGCGGACCAUCAACCUGGAACGUGUGCUGGUGACGGCCAACUCGUUCCUGGAGCGGAGCCAGGAUUUCAAGAUUGCGAGCUCGGCCAUCAGGGAUGUGUCGCAGGGGGUGCAGGAGCAG
rnacentral:sRNA from 1 species